CCAGGCCAGGACCACAGACGGCAUUUAACUCCGCGCUUACUGCCACUAGGCAGCUGGUGGAGCGCACAAUUGGGGUCCUUAAAGGGCGGUUUCGUGUGCUCCACCGCACUGGUGGCGACAUCAUGUAUUCGCCGGAGAUGGCAAGUAAACUAGUGGUCCUGUGCGCUAUACUACACAACAUCGCGGUAAGGAGUAGCGUAGAGCUUCCUCAGACAGAGGAAUUGCCUGAUGAGGAGCCAGGGGUUGUCCGACACUUCGGUGGGGGGAGUGUUACACGGAGGGGGAGCCAAGUCAGGGCAAGCAUUGUUGCGGAAUAUUUCAGCUGAAUGAUCACACAAACUGUGGACGACCACAACGGCAAGCAACACAUGAGGCACCAUCUCAGCCCCCUUCCCCUUCUCACUCCCCCUCCACUUCCCAGUCCCCCUCCCCUUCUCACUCCCCCUCCCCUUCCCAAUCCCCCUCAGCUUCCCAGUCCCCCUCAGCUUCCCAAUCCCCCUCUGCUUCCCAGUCCCCCUCAGCUUCCCAGUCCCCCUCAGCUUCCCAAUCCCCCUCAGCUUCCCAGUCACCCUCAGCUUCCCAGGCCCACUCCACUUUCCACUCCCCCUCAGCUUCCCAGUCACCCUCAGCUUCCCAGGCCCACUCCACUUUCCACUCCCCUUCUCAGCCCACCUCUCCUUCUCUUUCUGUGACCCCUUCUCCUCCUUCCCAUACCCCUUCUCCUUCUACUUCCAAAUCACCUUCUCAGCCCCCCUCACCCUCUAUUGGCCUAACAUUCUCUCCGCCCCCCUCGCCCUCUCAAUCAGACCCACCCUCUGAAAUAACAUCCCCAAUCCCUCCUCCUUCCCCCAU